GACGAACGCUGGCGGCGUGCUUAACACAUGCAAGUCGAACGGAAAGGCCCUGCUUUUGUGGGGUGCUCGAGUGGCGAACGGGUGAGUAACACGUGAGUAACCUGCCCUUGACUUUGGGAUAACUUCAGGAAACUGGGGCUAAUACCGGAUAGGAGCUCCUGCUGCAUGGUGGGGGUUGGAAAGUUUCGGCGGUUGGGGAUGGACUCGCGGCUUAUCAGCUUGUUGGUGGGGUAGUGGCUUACCAAGGCUUUGACGGGUAGCCGGCCUGAGAGGGUGACCGGCCACAUUGGGACUGAGAUACGGACCAGACUCCUACGGGAGGCAGCAGUGGGGAAUAUUGCACAAUGGGCGGAAGCCUGAUGCAGCAGCGCCGCGUGCGGGAUGACGGCCUUCGGGUUGUAAACCGAUUUCGACUGUGACGAAGCGUGAGUGACGGUAAUGGGUCAAGAAGCACCGGCUAACUACGUG
rnacentral:rRNA from 1 species